AAGGGUGUAGUUUAUGUAGAACAUUUGUUUGUCAGGCAAAAAGUCUUUAUUGAAAGUGCCCUUU
rnacentral:tRNA from 1 species